GGUAUAGGCUUUAUUUAAUGGGUAAAUAAACAUUUUGCAUGAAGCAGGACAUUCUUAACAGCAAUUCUGAAUCCAUCCCAACACUCUACUUUCCUGCCAGUAUAAAUGACCUCAUGUAACAUAAGCAAGUUAAGGCUGCAGGUUUACUCACAUCUAUUCAUUCCUACAGAUGGAACGUCUAUCACAUGUGUGUUUUCUGAUGUUGUGUAAGCCUUGAGCUACGGUUAAAAGCUUUGCCACAGUCGUUGCACUUGUAAGGCUUCUCUCCGGUAUGAAUCCUCUGGUGUAUGAUCAGAUGUGAGCGCCACCUGAAUAUCUUCUCACAGUCACCACACUGGUGCAGUUUCUUUAUGGUGUUAACCUUUUUACGGCUCACGAAGGUGGAACCUUCCAGGGUGUUCCCAUAUUCAUAGUACCAUUGGGCUCUAGUGUGUAUUCUCUGGUGUUCGAUAAGAUAAGAGCUCCGACUGAAGGCCUUUCCACAUUCGCUACACUCGUAGGGCUUCACUCCUGCAUGAAUUAUCUGGUGUUGGAAGAGGGUUGAGUUCUGACUGAAGGCUUUCCCACAUUCAGUGCACUUGUAGGGCCUCUCCCCGGUGUGCACCCUCUGGUGGAUGGUGAGCUGCAUGCUCAUACUGAAGGCCUUCCCACACUGGAGGCACUCAUAGGGCUUCUCUCCCUUGUGGAUCCUCUGAUGGUAGAUGAGGCUGGAGCUCUGGCUGAAUGCUUUCCCACAGUCGUGGCACACGUAGGGCUUCUCUCCAGUGUGGAUCCGCUGAUGCUGGAUGAGGUGUGAGCCCUGAACAAAGCCUUUCCCACACUCGUCACAUUUGAAUGGCUUUUCUCCAGUGUGAGUUCUCUGGUGGCGAAUGAGUCGUGAGCUACACCCGAAGGCUUUUGUGCACUUAUUGCAUUUAUAAGGCUUCUCUCCAGUGUGAAUCAGCUGGUGCUGGCUCAGGCGAGAGAUCCACCGGAAAGCCUUCCCGCACUCGUUGCACUUAAAGGGCUUUUCCACAGUGUGACUUGUCUGAUGCACAACAAGGCUUGGGCUCUCUGAGGCUCUGAGCAUCUGAGAUCUCUCCCCGGCGUGCAUCCUCUGGUGCUGAGCAAGAGUUGAGCUCUGGCUGAAGGCCUUGCCACACUCCUUGCACAAGUAGGGUCUCUCUCCGGUGUGAGUUCUCUGGUGUCUGACUAGUUGAGACUGCUGGCUGAAAGCCUUCCCACACUCCCGGCAGCCAUAGGGCCUCUCUCCUGUGUGGAUCCUCUGAUGAUGGAUGAGGCUGGAGCUCUGACCGAACGCUUUCCCACAUUCCUCACACCUGUAUGGUUUCUCUCCAGUAUGAAUUCUCUGAUGCUGAAUAAGUUUUGAGCUCAGGCGGAAGGCUUUUCCACAUUCCACACACUUGAAUGGUUUCUCCCCAGUGUGGAUUCUCUGGUGUUGAUUAAGCUGUGAACACAGCCUGAAGACUUUUCCACACUCCUCACACUCGUAUGGCUUCUCGCCACAGCAGUUACUUGAAAGUUUCCCCUGAAAGCAGCCAGACAAUUGUUUUUGGCAUUCUUGACAGCAGUUAGGCUUCUCUUGUACACUAAUUUCCUGGUAUGGAGCCAGAUCUGGAGUGUGUCCAAAGUCUCUGCCGCACACCUGGCAUUGCUGUGACAUCCCUUGAGCACCAGCUCUCUGACCUUUACCAGGCUGACAGCUGAGGCCACUGGCCCCCAGCUCCUUGGAUUCCUGUGUAGUGUCCUUGGUGAAGGUUUUGGGAGCCAGGGUCCCCUGAAUCAAACACUGUUUCUGGAGAAGGGAGCCCCUUUCUCUCAGCACAGGGCUGCUUGGAAGUCUCUCUGACCAGACCUCAGAAUUGGAAGUGUCUGCAGAGCCAGGACCCUGAGGCUUCAGAAGGUCCAUGUCCCCCUGCUCAUGUGCAAGCCUAACAGUAGAAUCUGAAAUAAACAGGAAAUGAAAAUACUCUAUAUGUACUGAGCUCACAGAAAGGACAAAGACUGAAGUAGUGGGGAAGGCCAGCCCUUCCUAGGAUGGGCUGCAUGGAGCACUGCUACACACCCCAAGGGGAGAUGUAUGCGAGAAGAUGUACUUGGAGAGGCCUCAUACUUGGCUUCAUUGAUGCUUUUUGGUCCACAGUGGUGAAGUGCUCCUCUCUGCUAGGCAGAAUGCUGGGAGUUGCAUGACCUAAGAGGAGUUUGUGAGAAGAGGUACAUCCCAGGGGCACUGUGAAGAAUGCAAAACGGGACUGGACAAAGCCAGCCUGAAGGUGGAAAGUUUGCCAACAAGGAUUCUCAGACGGAGUCGGAGGCCCCCAGCAUCCCAGCUGGUAAAUGGGAAGGUAGAAAAGGGUCUGACCUAUGAAUAAGGGAAUGGGCAGGAAUGGGAGACUGAGGCUCUAGAGCUGCAGGGGGGUUACCCAGGGAGCUCAGAAGAGGGCAGAGUGCCUGGGCUGCCCAUGGCUACUCUCUGCUCCCUCCAGCUGCCACUUAUUUGCACCUGACACUCCUUGCUAGGCUGGAAGCUGAGUGGUCACACCCAGCAGACCACACUGACUUCCCUUUCCCUGUGACAGGUUUCUGGAGGGUCCAACCCAUCAGUCGCCCAGGAAGCCUUCCUGACAUCUGCUUUCCUCCUGGACUUUCCUUCAGACUCCUGUCCUACUCCAAAAUCCCAGAGAGCACCUCUGUUGAAACCACACUUCUCCAUGAUCAUAAUCACACAGUCACAGUCACAGUUACAAUCAGCCUGGUUCCACCCACGGCAAAUUCACAACCCAGUCAGGGCUUCAGCCUCACAGCUCUGUUCACUCCUAACCAUUAGUGGCUGGGUUUCCAGCUUCCAGUGAUUUCCAUGUCUUCCAGAAAGGGGUCCCACCUACCUAACUCUUCUGCAUGAUGGGAACAGAUCCCAGUGGUUCCUAAUUGGUCUUCCACAACCCAGUGAGGUUGGCAGAAGCCUCACUCACGGGAGGCAGACUGGCUCAGAGCUGAGCAGCUUGCACAAGGCCAUGAUGAUGAGGACAGCAUUUGGAGCCUUGAGGAAGCCUUCUCCCACCCCAGCCUCACAGAAAAGCUGCUCCCUGGGCAGGGCUUGCUCAUCCCUCCUCCAAAGCCUUCCUCUGCCUGGAGGUGAGAAAGCAGGACACUAAGACUCCCAGCAAGUACUGCUCCUGCUCUUCCCCCUGCCAGAAACUCAAGAGGACCAAAAGAGAGUGAGAUGCAUCCCUGGUAAGGUUAAGGCCUGGUGGAAAUGCCCAGGUCUUGGGCUACCCAGAACCAAGCAGCUCACAGUCACUUGCAACCACCAACCAAAGGACCAGGACAUCAUAGACAACCUGGCUAUGCUCAUAUUUUCCACGCUCUGGGUCCCUGUGUAUACAUCCAAAAGAGGCUUGGUGUACAUUUCCCAGUUCUGCCCUGACCCUGCACAACACCAGGCCAUGGUCCCACCUUGUCCUGCUGCCCAGCCUCCUGAAGCCUCCUCUCUCGGCAGCCUCUGACCUCCUUGCCUGGCCCAUUUCUCUCUGACUCUAUUUAACACUGACAGCUCCUGCAUAGUACCCCUGUAACUGAAGCUCAAGGUCCUCUCCCCUUCCCUGGAACAUGAAGGUCCUUCUCCAGCAAACUCUGGGCAAUCCCUGGGAAAAGGCAAGCACUGUGAAAAAGCAAAGCCUCUUUGGAAGAGGGAACACAUGUCCUCCCAGAGCAAAGGCACAGCAGUGCCUGACUUAUGACUCUCGUCACUAUCUGGGAACAAGGAGCUAGGAGUCACACAUUGGGGGGCUCUGGUGGUAGGCAAGGGCAUGGGGAGGGACUGCUGCAGAUCCACCCUCUGUUCCCUCUAGUCCCCUUCAAUAUCUGAUGCCAGCUGUGACCAGUCGGGGACAAAGAACUUGCCUGAGCAUUUCCUUUACUCCAUGCCUCUGGUUGUGUGCUCCUGUAUACCGUACUCUAGGGCCCACAAUCUUGUCCUGAGACCACUAUGGGUUACCCUGUGUUUGCUUCAUCCCCUUAUGGGUACAACUUGCUGCACAUAAACCUAUCAAGCUGUCGUACUCUGCCCACUGCAGCUGGCUUUUCUGCCACAUUGUGCUCUCCACAACCUUCCUCCACCAUGCAGGCACCUUACUCGGAGGCUUGGUUUUAACUGGCCACCCUCCAGCUUUGUCUCCUCCCCGGGGAGGAUCAGAAGGAACCUUUGCAGGAGGGGCAGAGGGGAACAUGGAAAUAGGUUGCUGCACCCAUAGUAAUUUAACAUGAGGAUGUCAGGCGGCCCCUAAUCCAAUAACAAUGGUGUUCUUAUAAGGAACUGGCUACAUAGGACAGACAAACAAUAAGAAGGCUGCCAAGUGAAGGAGGCAGGGUCUGGAAUGGCACAUCUACAAGCCAAGGAACACCAACAACUGCAUGAAGUCCCCAAUCCUGGAAAAGGUAACAAGGGCCAAGCCCUGCAGACUUCUGGGCUCCACAGUGAGACAUUUGUUGUUGAUUUGUGUUACUUUGCUGCAGCAGCUGCAGGAGGCCAGUGCACCAGGGUCUGAUCUGAGGGCUUGGUUCCCCAGGCCCCAAGAAGUUCCAGAGACAGCAGCAGGGGCAAUUUGUUUGAGUAGAGGAAGUGGAAAGCAAAGUUUAAUGCUUCCUCAGAUCCACAGAUUUGUGCCUUUCUCGAUAGGUAUAUUAGUAAAAUUAGAAACUGAACAAAAUGUGUACAAUUUCAAAAAACAAACUUUUUACUGAAUGCACAGGUGUUUUGUGUUCUUGCCAUUACAGGGAAGUCCCAGACCUGUUGUGCUUCCUUCCACCCCUGUCCUUGCCUAUGCCACCCCCAGCAGCCCAGUCAAGCCCUUGGGAUUCACCCCAACCUCCCACUUCUCUAGUUCCCACUUUUGGGAAGGCUACUCCUUCCCAAAGGCUCUCUGCUACAGGACCUAUACCUCACCUGUCUGGGAGGUCCACGGUGCUUCUGUCCCCUCAACUCCCUGCAGGUCGAUAACCCAUGGCUCUUGUCCCUGUUCCAACCGAGAGAUCAGCUCAGGUUUGAAGACCAGGAAUCCUGCUGUGUGUGGUCAGAGAAGGAGAUGCUAGGAGCAUGGCUAGUGCUUGACAUCCCCCCAAAAUAAAAAGGGCGAGUUGCCCUCCAGAUAUUAGCACAUACUAGCCAGAAGCGAUGAUGCACCUUCAGCCCCAGUCACUUGGGAGGCUGAAGUGUUCCAAAAACCAAAGCAACGAAACAGAAACAAACCAAGCAGGAAGCUGGCCCACAGACUCUCAGAAAAGAAUAGCGCAGAAAUACACUACUUCAUAUUUUAAGACCAUCAACAGGAAAAGGAGGUUGUCAGCAAAUCAUGUUGGGGAAAUGUUUCAAUGCUCAGACAAAAAUAAAACAGGAUUUUUCCUUAACUCCAACACAAUGGUGAAGCCUUGAUAUUAAUAAGGAAGAUAAGCUAUAAAAUUCACAGGAGAAAAUGUAGGCCAUUUCAAAAAGUUUGAAGUAGGGAAUAACUAAUAAAACCUCAAAGGCAUAAGCUAUAAGACAAAACCCAAAGUACAUUAUGUGAAAAUGUGACAAGGCUGGGAAUGCAGCUCAGUGGCAGAAUGCUCACCUAGCAGGCAUGAAGCCCUGGCAGGCUCAAUCCCCAGUACUGAAAAAAACAAAAAACAAAAAACUAACCAGCGUUACCAAACAUGAGAGAAGGGUAAAGGUACAAUGUGAAUCGGUGUGGUGUUCACCCUUGAUAUACUGUAAGAUAGACUUUGUAUAAAAUGCUUUCACACCUCUAAACCUCAGGGACAUCUUAGAAUUGAAAUCAGAAGUCUUCCAGCAACUGGUAAUAGAUGUGACAUGCCACUGCUGCCCACACAAGCUGCAUUAUCUGCUCUGUACACUGUCUUCAAAAAAUUUAUUCUGGCCAGUCAUAGUGGCACAUGGCUGCAAUCCCAUCGACUCAGGAGGCUGAGGCAGACAGAUCACAAGUUUGAGGCCAACCUCAGAAACUUAGGUGAAGCCCUCAGCAACUUAGUGAGAUUCUGUCUCAAAAAAUAAAAAGGGCUGGGGAUAUAGCUCAGCUGUAAAGUGCCAUGCAUUCAAUCUCCAGUACCAAAAAAGAAAAACAAACAUUAAUUUAGUAGCUUAAGAAAAAAGAGGCUUUAUUAACUCUCAGAAUUUCACCUACCCAGUGAGGGCCGAGUCACCUGAUAUGUGCAAAGUCUGGAACCAGCCUAGCACAGGUUUGAGGCCCCUAUUUGGCCCAAGACAGUCUGAGCACUCAGCCUCCCCCACAUCUGAUGCAGGCCUGGCUGGCUGUGUGGGUGCUGACUGACUGUGCAAGGGAGGGGGACCAAGGUGCCACCUCACCUAGUCCGGCCACGCUGCUGUGGUUCUCCAGCAUCACCUCCCUGUAGAGGGCCUUCUGGCCAGAGUCCAAACACUGCCACUCCUCCCGGGAGAAGUGCACAGCCACGUCACCAAAUGUCACCGCCUCCUGAAAGGACAAAUACCAGCACCCCAGGGAUCCCUGGGUGCCAGCCCCAUUCUUGCACGGCAUCACAGCAUAUCUCAGGCAGGUGUACCAAGGGGUUGGGCAAGAGUUGCCCAGCUCCUUCCUCCAAAAUCCGAGGAAAGGGAAGUUUAAGAGGAGAGGAGGGACCUGGCUCUUGGUAACCAUAUGACCCUCCCUCUCACAAGCCUCAGAUAGGCCGAUCUGGCAGAGGUUUGCUCACUGCCUUUGGGGUGCCAAGGGGGGUGCCUGAGUCUGGCAAGAGCCAGUGAGGGCUGAGGGUGGGUCUGGGUCUGCAUCCAGGCCCAGGAAGCAGGGUAGAUGCCCAAAGUAGGAGGUAGAGGCUUCCCAGAGCAAGUGUGGGAAUGGAGGCAGCCAAGCUUCCUACCAUGAGGCUUGAUGGAUGGUGUCCACUGGUCUUGGCUGGGACACCUGCAGGGAAUUAUGAAAGGGUUAGAGGUCAGGGUGGUAG
rnacentral:lncRNA from 1 species